UUCGUAGAUUGUGAACGGGAGCUUUGCCUUGUAUCUCCGGUUUUCCCAUCGCCUGCUUGAUCUGACAUGACUUCUGUGUGCAAGGUUAGCCUACCAGGAUGCGUUUCCCUCCUGUGAGACUGACAGGACACUGCAUCAUAUCCACACAAAUAGAGGGUACCUACCUGCAGAUUCUUAGGCCAGAACAGAAACACUUCUGGCUGCUUUCCAGGCAGACCCUUCAGGUCUUCGGUGAUUUGUGGCUUGGGCUGAGAUAGAAAUGUUAUUUAUUUAUGGCCAUUUCUAUGCUGUUAGUUAAUAAAAUGAAGUUGAAGUAAUAAGGCUAUGAUGUAAAAAUUAGCAGCAGAAAAGAGCUGGGCAUUGGGAGCGAGAGAAAUUGGGAGGACUGAAGCAGAUGUUUUCAGAGGUGAGGAGAGGAUGGCAGAUGCGAGACCUACAUUUGUAUUGGUGGAAAGCCAGGGCACAAGAUGUUCCAUCUAUUCUGGCUUACACGUGACCCAAGUGGCAAUGAAGUGAAAUUCAUCCUCCAUGGCAGUAAAUCCCCCUGAAAACAAACAAUUGAAUGGCGCAAGUCUGGGGGUGGGGAAGAGAUUACAAAUAAAGCCAAAAUUGUCAGACGUGAUUGAUGAAUCACUGAUGGAACACUGAUGUGUUUCUAGUGAAAUAAAUAUAUGUAUAUAUUUU
rnacentral:lncRNA from 7 species